GAUGAACGCUGGCGGCGUGCUUAACACAUGCAAGUCGAACGGAAAGGCCCAAGCUUGCUUGGGUACUCGAGUGGCGAACGGGUGAGUAACACGUGGGUGAUCUGCCCUGCACUUCGGGAUAAGCCUGGGAAACUGGGUCUAAUACCGGAUAGGACGAUGGUUUGGAUGCCAUUGUGGAAAGUUUUUUCGGUGUGGGAUGAGCUCGCGGCCUAUCAGCUUGUUGGUGGGGUAAUGGCCUACCAAGGCGUCGACGGGUAGCCGGCCUGAGAGGGUGUAAGGCCACAUUGGAACUGAGAUACGGCCCAGACUCCGACGGGAGGCAGCAGUGGGGAAUAUUGCACAAUGGGCGCAAGCCUGAUGCAGCGACGCCGCGUGGGGGAUGACAGCAUUCGGGUUGUAAACUCCUUUCGCUAGGGACGAAGCGUUUUUGUGACGGUACCUGGAGAAGAAGCACCGGCUAACUACGUG
rnacentral:rRNA from 1 species